AAAGGAUAAUAGAGGACGCCACUGAAACAGACAAAAGGAAAGGGUAAAACUCGCCGCUCUAGAACCUCCGUCUCUCCUCUCCCGGUACCGCUAAACUCACCAAUCGAGACGGCGACUAGAGGCCUCUCGCUCGGACACCAACCGCAGGAAGGGGAUGGGGACAACGAAGAGGACGUUCGCGCAGCUCCUUCUCCCCUUCAGCUGUGUACCACUAAGGCGCCGCUAUAGAGUAGACGAUGGCAAUUAAAGCGCGGCGAGGAGGACAACGACACCACAAGAGGCUCGGGGCACAGAGGGAAGAAGGGGGUUGCUCGGUACUUACACCACAGAAGUGUAAAUUCAUAUACCUCUAUAAGUGUGGUUCUUGAGUCUACCGUUUGAAAAAGAGGUCACGUCUGUAAGGUUUAGAAUCCUAGUCUAUACGCUUACUGUACAAAACGUCGGGGUACUUGUCAACACUGUUCAGAAAGCAUUGACCAAAGAUAGCACUACCUCUUCGUUACGGCCCACUCCAAUUUGUACACACGCAAGGAUCGUGUUUACCACCGACUCAAGAAAAAAAUCAUCGUACAUUAGACUUGUUUCAUCGUACGUUAGACUCGUAUAGUCAUAAAAACUAAAUCAUCACCAGACAUACAAAAAAGUAAAACUAACAUCACAGUACAGAAAUACGGACAUUGAGACGUUAUGCAUAAAGCUCGUCUAAAAACUAAGAUAUAGUUCCCAGGUAAAAAACAAUU
rnacentral:rRNA from 1 species